AAAGGGUGACGAAGCGACGCCGCGUGUGGGAAGAAGGCCUUCGGGUUGUAAACCACUGUCGGGAGUUAAGAAGUGUAAGGGUGUUAAGAGCAUCCUUGCUUGACGUUAGCUCCGGAGGAAGCCACGGCUAACUCUGUGCCAGCAGCCGCGGUAAUACAGAGGUGGCAAGCGUUGUUCGGAAUUAUUGGGCGUAAAGAGCACGUAGGCGGCCCUGCAAGUCAGCUGUGAAAUCCUUCUGCUCAACGGAAGAACGGCAGUUGAUACUACAGGGCUCGAGUGCGGGAGGGGAGAGUGGAACUUCUGGUGGAGCGGUGAAAUGCGUAGAUAUCAGAAGGAACAUCGGCGGCGAAAGCGACUCUCUGGCCCGUAACUGACGCUGAGGUGCGAAAGCUAGGGGAGCAAACGGGAUUAGAUACCCCGGUAGUCCNAGCCGUAAACGAUGGGCACUAAGUAGAGGGGUUU
rnacentral:rRNA from 1 species